UGGGGAAUAUUGGACAAUGGGCGAAAGCCUGAUCCAGCCAUGCCGCGUGUGUGAAGAAGGCCUUUUGGUUGUAAAGCACUUUAAGCGAGGAGGAGGCUACUUGGAUUAAUACUCUAGGAUAGUGGACGUUACUCGCAGAAUAAGCACCGGCUAACUCUGUGCCAGCAGCCGCGGUAAUACAGAGGGUGCGAGCGUUAAUCGGAUUUACUGGGCGUAAAGCGUGCGUAGGCGGCUUUUUAAGUCGGAUGUGAAAUCCCUGAGCUUAACUUAGGAAUUGCAUUCGAUACUGGGAAGCUAGAGUAUGGGAGAGGAUGGUAGAAUUCCAGGUGUAGCGGUGAAAUGCGUAGAGAGCUGGAGGAAUACCGAUGGCGAAGGCAGCCAUCUGGCCUAAUACUGACGCUGAGGUACGAAAGCAUGGGGAGCAAACAGG
rnacentral:rRNA from 1 species